rnacentral:ncRNA from 1 species
CAACUUGAGAGUUUGAUCCUGGCUCAGAACGAACGCUGGCGGCAGGCUUAACACAUGCAAGUCGAACGAGAAGGUACCUUCGGGUAUUGGACAGUGGCGCACGGGUGAGUAACGCGUGGGAAUCUACCAUGGAGUGGGGGAUAACAUUUGGAAACGAAUGCUAAUACCGCAUACG